CGCCUCCUCAGUUUCUUUCCUCUUUUCCGAGUUUGAGAAUUCAAGUAAGAUUCGCACGACGCAGUCGGAUUUUUGGUCUUUUGAGCUGUUUGCCCUUCAAAGCUUCGAACUUUUCCUUUUGUAUUUGAUCUUUUUGGUUGUAAGUGGAGAUCAAACAAGUUUCAAGGGUUUCAUUGGGUUAGGAGGCGAGAAC